GGAUAUAGCUCACUGGCAGAGCAGCUGCUAUGCAUGCAGAAUAUCCCAGGUUCAAUCCCUGGCAUGUCCA